rnacentral:rRNA from 1 species
UACGUAGGGUGCAAGCGUUAAUCGGAAUUACUGGGCGUAAAGCGUGCGCAGGCGGCUAUGCAAGACAGAUGUGAAAUCCCCGGGCUCAACCUGGGAACUGCAUUUGUGACUGCAUGGCUAGAGUACGGUAGAGGGGGGAUGGAAUUCCGCGUGUAGCAGUGAAAUGCGUAGAUAUGCGGAGGAACACCGAUGGCGAAGGCAAUCCCCUGGACCUGUACUGACGCUCAUGCACGAAAGCGUGGGGAGC